GGACCUGAUCAAUAUUUCACUCUGGAAAGGGGGAAAAAGCCCCAAACCCCAAAAAUUAAACACCAGAGUGCUUGUGGGGAUGAAGCAAAGGGGGAAAUGAAUGGCACUAAUGGGCUGUGCUGGCCCAGGAGGGAUGCAGGGAUGCUGGGCACUGUCCUUCCUGCUGUUUCUCUGCUCUUUUCAGGGUACUCAGGACCCAAGGAAGCUCCACACCUGCUGAUGGCCCCUGUGGAUGGGGUGCUCAGCCAUGUGCCAAGGACACACUCCAGCUGUGCUGAGGGCAGGAUGGGAGAGAAAGAAGGGCUCAGUGCUGGCCAGGACAUGUGGCUGUGACCUCCUUGCUGCUGCUGGGGCCGGAUCCAUCCUGCCUGGCGUCCGUGCCCUUCCCAUGUGCCACCCCAGCCUGGCAGACUGGCAGCUAAAAAUAAGCGCAAUGCAGGGGAUAACCGGGUGCCUAAAUAUAUCCAUCCCUUCUUUAAUUA